UAAUAUUUCUUACCAACCAUUAAGAGCCAUCGAAUGUAGCCUUCGUUUCUCUCUCCGACGCUUCCAAAUUCUAGUGCGAGAAUAGUAAAACCCAAAAUUAAAAAAUAAAUUCACCAUACUCUAUUCGACCAUGGCGUUUCCUAGGGUUUUGUGACGAUUAUCUCAAUGGAAAUGCCCGGCAGACGAUCCAAUUACUCUCUCCUUAGCCAGUAUCCCGACGAUCAAUUGUCCGUCCCUUCGUCUCUAUUUUACGAGUCCCACUCCGGCGAUGGAAAAAAUAACAACGCCGGCAAACCUAAACUGGAUUGGGAAUCCAGUAGUGGUGGCGAUUACAAAUUGAGUCAACAAUCAAACAGAAUUGGAAACUUGUACACGUCAUCGAUCGGUCUACAGCGCCAGUCUAGCGGCAGUAGUUUUGGAGAGAGCUCGAUGUCCGGAGAUUAUUACGUUCAUACUUUAUCUAGCGCCGCCGCCAAUGAGAUCGAUUCGUUUAAUGACAUGUACAAGGUUGGAGGAGGUGAUCAUAAAGCGAAGCCGCCUAAGGAGGGGUCAUCGUCCGGAAAAAGUUGGGCUCAGCAGACUGAAGAGAGUUAUCAGCUGCAGUUGGCCUUGGCGUUGAGGCUUUCAUCGGAAGCCACGUGUGGGGAUGAUCCGAAUUUUUUGGAUCCGGUUCCAGAUGAGUCCGCGUUGAGGUCCGGAUCAGCCAGCUCAGCUGAGGCGGUAUCUCAUCGGUUUUGGGUGACUGGGUGCUUAUCAUACUUCGACAAAGUUCCUGACGGAUUUUAUUUAGUUCAUGGAGUGGAUCCAUAUGUAUGGACAAUUUGCGCUGAUCUGAAUGAGAAUGGUCGUAUUCCAUCCAUUGAAUCUCUAAGAUCUGUUGAUCCUAGUAACGAUACUUCAAUUGAAGUUCUUUUGAUUGAUCGACGCAGUGAUCCUAGCCUGAAGGAACUCCAAAAUAGGGUCAUGAACAUUUCUUGUAGCUGUAUAACCACAAAAGAAGUUGUUGAUCAACUUGCAAAGCUUGUCUGCAAUCGCAUGGGAGGUUCAGCUACAAUGGGGGAAGAUGACUUUGUUCCCAUCUGGAGAGAGUGCAGUGAUGAUAUAAAAGAUUGCUUAGGAUCUGUGGUAGUACCUAUAGGCAGCCUAUCUGUUGGUCUCUGCAGACAUAGGACUUUACUGUUCAAAGUUCUAGCAGACGCAAUUGAUUUACCUUGUCGAAUUGCAAAGGGUUGCAAAUAUUGCAAACGAGGUGACGCUUCCUCUUGUCUUGUUAGGUUUGGACUUGACAGGGAGUAUUUAGUUGAUUUGAUAGGGAAGCCAGGACAAUUAUUUGAGCCUGAUUCCUUGCUUAAUGGUCCAUCGUCCAUAACAAUUGCUUCCCCAUUACGUUUUCCACGACUCAAAUCAGCUGAACCUACUAUGGAUUUCAAGUUGCUGGCAAAACAAUAUUUUUCAGACUGUCAGUCACUUAAUCUUGUAUUUGAUGAUUCAUUAGCAGCUUCUGCUGUUGAAGAAAACGAUAACAAAUUCUCAAUGUAUCCUAAGCAUUUUGAUAAGAUGGGGACAGAGAAGAACCUUGUGCAGUUCUCUAGCAGCAUCAGUGAAUCCCAGUAUGAUCUGCCUCCAAAAGGAGGUCGUCCAAGUGCCCACGAUAGAGACACUGAACUUUUUAAAUCAUGUAAUCCCACCCAGAACAUUAUUCACUCAAUGAACUCAGUUAAUGAUCCAAUUCCUUUGAAGCAUAUACCACCUAUUGGACAUAGGGACGGUCAACCACGCUUGGCAUUACCUGAUCAGAUAGUAGAUAAAGCUAAAGAUUUGAGGUUUCUUGAGGGUGCUCAAUUGAUUCCUGGUAAACCAAGUAAAGACUUUUCCCUUGAUGUGGAAGAGUUAGAUAUCCCGUGGAAUGAUCUUGUCCUGAAAGAACGAAUUGGAGCAGGUUCAUUUGGAACUGUUCAUCGUGCUGAUUGGCAUGGCUCGGAUGUUGCUGUGAAAAUUCUCAUGGAACAAGACUUUCAUGGAGAACGCUUUCGGGAAUUUUUGAGGGAGGUUACAAUAAUGAAGCGCUUACGGCAUCCAAAUAUUGUUCUUUAUAUGGGUGCGGUCACUCAGCCCCCAAACUUAGCCAUAGUGACAGAAUAUUUAUCAAGAGGCAGCUUGUAUAGGCUUUUACAUAAACCUGGUGCUCGAGAGGUGUUGGAUGAGAGGCGCCGUUUGAAUAUGGCGUAUGAUGUGGCAAAGGGAAUGAAUUAUCUUCAUCGGCGUAAUCCUCCUAUUGUUCAUAGGGACUUGAAAUCUCCAAAUCUUUUGGUUGACAAGAAGUAUACUGUGAAGGUUUGUGAUUUUGGACUUUCCCGUUUGAAGGCAAACACUUUUCUGUCUUCAAAAUCUGCAGCAGGGACUCCUGAGUGGAUGGCACCAGAAGUUCUCCGUGAUGAGCCAUCAAAUGAGAAGUCUGACAUAUACAGCUUUGGUGUAAUACUGUGGGAGCUCGCUACAUUGCAGCAGCCCUGGGGCAACUUAAAUCCAGCACAGGUUGUAGCGGCUGUUGGUUUUAAGGGGAAGAGGCUUGAGAUUCCACUUGAUUUAAAUCCUCAAGUAGCUUCAAUAAUUGAGGCUUGCUGGGUUAGUGAGCCUCGGAAACGUCCUUCCUUCUCUUUCAUCAUGGAAUUGUUAAGGCCCUUGAUCAAACCUCUUACGCCUCAGCCGGGAGGCCCAGGUCGUGCAGACAUGCAAUUGCUUACUUGAGUAACGCCGAAGAGUUGUUAUUCAUGCACAUAAUACAUCAUUUUUUUCUUUUAGGUUUCUAUGCCCAGUAGCAAGACACUGUUUAGGUAGUCCGAGAAAUCAUUGUUGUACAUGUCUGUUCUCACGGCUGAUUGGGCAUUCUGAUUUUUGAAGAAAGUCAAGUAAUUUCCAAUGCCCUCUUUGCCUUCUUCCUACUUUUCUCACGACAAAUAUUAUUAUUUGCAUUGAUUUGUUUAACUAGUACAUUACUCCAUGUCAUUAUGGAAAGUUGUAUAAUUCUGUCUCUCAUGAUUUUGUAUGUAAAAAUUGUAACUAUAAAAAUUAGUUAAUGAGAAGCAGCUAUACCGGUAUCGCAGGACA